UUGAGUGAUGAUCCAUAUUAUAGGAAUUGCCGUCGGAUCGAUAUCUGAAGAGAAACUUAAUUCUGAUC